rnacentral:rRNA from 1 species
GACGAACGCUGGCGGCGUGCUUAACACAUGCAAGUCGAACGGAAAGGCCCUGCUUUUGUGGGGUGCUCGAGUGGCGAACGGGUGAGUAACACGUGAGUAACCUGCCCUUGACUUUGGGAUAACUUCAGGAAACUGGGGCUAAUACCGGAUAGGAGCUCCUGCUGCAUGGUGGGGGUUGGAAAGUUUCGGCGGGUGGGGAUGGACUCGCGGCUUAUCAGCUUGUUGGUGGGGUAGUUGCUUACCAAGGCUUUGACGGGUAGCCGGCCUGAGAGGGUGACCGGCCACAUUGGGACUGCGAUACGGCCCAGACGCCUACGGGAGGCAGCAGUGGGAAAUAUUGCACAAUGGGCGGAAGCCUGAUGCAGCAACGCCGCGUGCGGGAUGACGGCCUUCGGGUUGUAAACCGCUGUCGCCUGUGACGAAGCGUGAGUGACGGUAAUGGGUAAAGAAGCACCGGCUAACUACGUG